UACGUAGGGUGCGAGCGUUAAUCGGAAUUACUGGGCGUAAAGCGUGCGCAGGCGGUUCGUCGUGUCCGAUGUGAAAGCCCCGGGCUCAACCUGGGAAUGGCAUUGGAAACUGGCGGACUCGAGUGUGGCAGAGGGGGGUGGAAUUCCGCGUGUAGCAGUGAAAUGCGUAGAGAUCCGGAAGAACACCGGUGGCGAAGGCGGCCUGCUGGGCUAUGGCUGACACUGAGGCGCGACAGCGUGGGGAGCAAACAGG
rnacentral:rRNA from 1 species